GAUGAACGCUAGCGGCAGGCUUAAUACAUGCAAGUCGUGGGGCAGCAGCUUUAUAGCAAUAUAGAGGCUGGCGACCGGCAAACGGGUGCGGAACACGUACUGAACCUUCCUUUAAGUGGGGAAUAGCACAGAGAAAUUUGGAUUAAUACCCCGUAACAUAUAAAAGUGGCAUCACUUUUAUAUUAAAGCUCCGGCGCUUAAAGAUGGCAGUGCGGCUGAUUAGGUAGUUGGCGGGGUAACGUCCCACCAAGCCUCCGAUCAGUAACUGGUGUGAGAGCAUGACCAGUCACACGGGCACUCAGCCCCGGGCCCGGCUCCUACGGGAGGCAGCCGUAAGGAACAUUGGUCAAUGGACGGAAGUCUGAACCAUCCAUGCCGCGUGGAGGAUGAAGGUCCUCUGGAUUGUAAACUUCUUUUAUCUGGGACGAAAAAGGGCUUUUCUAAGUCAACUGACGGUACCAGAUGAAUAAGCACCGGCUAACUCCGUGCCAGCCGCCGCCGUAA
rnacentral:rRNA from 1 species